GGCGGCAGGCUUAACACAUGCAAGUCGAGCGCGUAGCAAUACGAGCGGCAGACGGGUGAGUAACGCGUGGGAAUCUACCCAACCCUACGGAAUAACGCAUGGAAACGUGUGCUAAUACCGUAUACGCCCUUCGGGGGGAAAGAUUUAUCGGGGAUGGAUGAGCCCGCGUUGGAUUAGCUAGUUGGUGGGGUAAAGGCCUACCAAGGCGACGAUCCAUAGCUGGUCUGAGAGGAUGAUCAGCCACAUUGGGACUGAGACACGGCCCAAACUCCUACGGGAGGCAGCAGUGGGGAAUAUUGGGACAAUGGGCGCAAGCCUGAUCCAGCCAUGCCGCGUGAGUGAUGAAGGCCCUAGGGUUGUAAAGCUCUUUCACCGGUGAAGAUAAUGACGGCAACCGGAGAAGAAGCCCCGGCUAACUUCGUG
rnacentral:rRNA from 1 species